AGCUCCAAGAGCGUAUAUUAAAGUUGUUGCAGUUAAAAAGCUCGUAGUUGGAUUUCUGGUACAACGCGCCUGUCCGGCAUUUGUCAGUGACGGUGCGCGUUUGCCAUCCUUCUAGAAAACGUUUCUACCCGGGCAACUGGGCCGGACUCGCGAUCUAGAUCUUUUACUUUGAAAAAAUUAGAGUGUUUAAAGCAGGCAUUUGCUGUGAAUACAUUAGCAUGGAAUAAUGAUCUAGGACUUCGGUUCUAUUUUGUUGGUUUCUAGUACUGAAGUAAUGAUUGAUAGGGAUAGUUGGGGGUGCUAGUAUUGGCCGGCCAGAGGUGAAAUUCUUGGAUUCGGUCAAGACUAACUUAUGCGAAAGCAUUCACCAAGGAUGUCUUCUUUAAUCAAGAACGAAAGU
rnacentral:rRNA from 1 species